rnacentral:tRNA from 1 species
AGGGAUACAGCCCAGUGGCGGAGCAUAUGUUUAGCACGCAUGAGGUCCCGGGUUCAAUCCCCAGUACCUCCA